UCUUUCUUUCCUCAUCCACGAUCUUUCUUCCCAUAUGCACAAAUCUAGCAUAAAACUGAUGAGGAAUUGUACUUCAUCCUUUCUUGCUCUCCAUGUCUCUCUUGCAUCAUUUUUCCUCUAUUUCCUCAAUUCUAAGUUUUUGCAGUUGAUAGAGGAAACAAAGUGAAGAUGUCAUUGGAUUAUACCCAUCUUUCUCAACUGAUUCUUUCUAAAAAAGAAUGGAAGAAAAGCUAGAAAGUUGUUGGAUAUUCAACUUAUAAUUUCCAGGUGUGGUUUCUGAUAUUAGGAACAUUCAAUACGGAAGAAGAUUUGAGUAGAAACAGAGGAGAAUGAAACAAAAAAGUACAAAGGAAGCAGAAGCACCCGCAAGGUGAUUCAGUUAAAUAUGGAACUCUAGAGUUUCUUCACCAAAAGUAAGUCUCAACAUUUAUUUACCAUUUUAAAACUAUUCUUGGAUAUUGCUAUACAUUUUGAUAUGUGCUUAAUACUUUUAAGUCAUUAUUACAUCCUGUGAUGUUCAUGUUGUGGUGGAUACAUAUAUAGUCUAUGCUCUGCAAGUAUAUGUGUUGCUAGGAUUCAUCUUCACUGGAGCCGGAAUUGAAAUAUACCAUAAAAAGGUUGUCUAACUUCAAAAAAGAUAUUGAAUGAAUUACUCGAUGUAAAAGCCAAAGACAGAUUGGUCACAGAGCAUGUUGAUUAUGAGAAAAAGGUACUGGAAAGAAGAGCAAGAUAGAAGUAAAUCAAGAAAACUUCAUACUAAUAUUUGUAUGCAACGAACUAAUUUAUAAUAAUGUAAAAAACUAAACAGAUGUAACAUAGUUUUUAUAUGUUUGUGGGUUACUCAGUAAUA